AACGAACGCUGGCGGCAUGCCUAACACAUGCAAGUCGAACGAGACCUUCGGGUCUAGUGGCGCACGGGUGCGUAACGCGUGGGAACCUGCCCUUAGGUUCGGAAUAACUCCCCGAAAGGGGUGCUAAUACCGGAUAAUGUCUUCGGACCAAAGAUUUAUCGCCUUUGGAUGGGCCCGCGUUGGAUUAGCUAGUUGGUAGGGUAAAAGCCUACCAAGGCGACGAUCCAUAGCUGGUCUGAGAGGAUGAUCAGCCACACUGGGACUGAGACACGGCCCAGAAUCCUACGGGAGGCAGCAGUGGGGAAUAUUGGACAAUGGGCGAAAGCCUGAUCCAGCAAUGCCGCGUGAGUGAUGAAGGCCUUAGGGUUGUAAAGCUCUUUUACCCGGGAUGAUAAUGACGGUACCGGGAGAAUAAGCACCGGCUAACUCCGUG
rnacentral:rRNA from 1 species